AUCUGCUCAGUAUGCAUCACAAAGCACAGGAACGCUUGCUAUUGUUUUAGCAGGAGUCUCUCUGGGAAAGCAGUGGUCAGGUUGGUCUUGCAGAACAGGCAGAGCUGCAAUUCCUCAAGAUAUUUAUAUGAAACGUAUCCAGUGGGAAUUGAGAUUCCUUCUGGGAUUUCUUUCUUGGACAGAAUAUUGCCAGUAAUAAGCUUUAACUGCUAUUAAUAAUCUAUUAACUCCUUUGAUGCGUCUAGAGAACACAGCUGUGUGACAGGAAAUCUUGUUUUGGGAGAAUGGAUGUAUGGAGUCAGUUCACCCUGAAAAAGAUAUUUGUGAGAAGAAGUAAAUAGAUUAAAAAGAAAAACUAAAAGUGGCUGCCCUAGCUGAGUGUUUGUUUCUCAUCUUAUUGUGCUUUAUAACAGCACCAACUUCAAAGCCCAAUUAACACUUUCGUGAACGCAGUAUGACUGCUGAAGCAGCUCACGUGCUUUUUGCUGAAAAGAAGGUUGUUCUCUGAAUUCCUAAAGCAUUUCUCCAAACGUGCAGUUUUUGAACUUAAUUAGAAAUGACAACUUAUAGUUCUGCAGAAAACUGUAAAAAUGAUUUUUUUUUUGCUGUAAGAUUUCCUUUAGUGUUGCUCUGAUUGGUGACAUAUACCUGCUUGGCUUCCUACCUAGGGGUGCUUUGUAACAGUAAUAGGAAAUUAAUGAGAGAAAACGACUAAUACUGGAAACAGAAUACUUAAUACUUCAGGUACUGAUAAUUUGUCAAAUCUGGGCUGCAAUGAUCCAGGCUGUUAACGACCGCUGUGUUGCAAUAGGAGAAAGAAACCCUGCUUGCUCCUACUGAAUCAUUCCAUAUGCUGGUAUCUUUGCUUUGAGACCUUGAGGAAGAAUACUAACAGCAAGAAGGAGGCAUAUUAACUUUAUGAAGAAAGAACAAACCUCCCACUUUGAUGGCUUCCACUAAACAUUUAGCUGUGCAAGUUUUGCCAAAGGACCACGUAAGACCUGAAUAAAGCCUUCAGCAUUUCUCUGCACUGGGAUAACCUGGACCCAUACCAGAUAUUGCUAUUGCAGAAUCCUGGGAGCACUUCCACUCUGAAGGACUUCCUCAUGAUGGCUGUAUGCUGCAGCGUUAGUGCAUGUGAUUCGAGAAUAAAGCAUGGGAUCCUGUGUGUUCUGAGUGAGUGCUGCUGUUUUCUGUAAGUGCUUCAUUAGGCAGUGCACAUACCUAGCAAGAAAAAGGAAAAGAAAGUGGGAAACAAAAG
ensembl:lncRNA